rnacentral:rRNA from 1 species
CCGUCAUUGACGCUGAGGCACGAAAGCGUGGGGAUCAAACAGGAUUAGAUACCCUGGUAGUCCACGCAGUAAACGAUGAUAACUAACCGUCGGCGAUACACAGUCGGUGGCCAAGCGAAAGCGAUAAGUUAUCCACCUGGGGAGUACGUUCGCAAGAAUGAAACUCAAAGGAAUUGACGGGGGCCCGCACAAGCGGAGGAACAUGUGGUUUAAUUCGAUGAUACGCGAGGAACCUUACCCGGGCUCGAACGGUGCAGGAAGGAUCAAGAGAUUGUGACGCCCUUCGGGGCCUGCAUCGAGGUGCUGCAUGGUUGUCGUCAGCUCGUGUCGUGAGAUGUUGGCUUAAGUGCCAUAACGAGCGCAACCCUUGUCAGUAGUUACCAGCAAGUCAAGUUGGGGACUCUACUGAGACUGCCACCGCAAGGUGUGAGGAAGGCGGGGAUGACGUCAAAUCAGCACGGCCCUUACGUCCGGGGCGACACACGUGUUACAAUGGCGACUACAGAGGGAAGCCACCUGGCGACAGGGAGCAGAUCUCAAAAAGUCGUCUCAGUUCGGAUCGGAGUCUGCAACUCGACUCCGUGAAGCUGGAUUCGCUAG